rnacentral:snoRNA from 1 species
UGGAUGAUGAGCUUUCUUUGACCUGGUAACAUUCUGACAUUUUGAUGAGGUUUAUUUCCUGA